rnacentral:lncRNA from 1 species
AUGUCUCGUCUGUCAAUCAUUGUUGCCUCUGUAACAGUUUGUGAUUUUUAUGGAGGAUCCUUAUGUAAUUCUGAUGGAGCAGGAAACAGAACUGGCAGAUUCUGUUUCCUUCAGUCUAACAGCUCUUUACACCCAAGCCAUUGCUCUGCACUGUGCACCUCUCAUGCACUGUAGGGCCAACUACAAGACAAAAGAACAACCAAAACCUCUCACAAAACAAUAGGCAUAGGAUGCUGAGAAACAUCAGGACACUCAUCUGGUCACUCAGUGAAUGGAACAAAAACAGCAAAUGAAAACUUGAUCUUUCAGGAAAAAAAGUCUGUUUAGAAACGGAUGUAUUUGUAUCCGCAAGAGAUAUCAUACUGAACAGGAGAAAGCUCUGCAUCAUGGAGUAAAAGCUAUCUGCUGAGUGUUAGCAGGACACUGCCAUUUGGAAAGCUGGACUCUGGAAUUGAGUAUGCAACGCUCCCAGCACUUCUUAGGAGAUUGAAUAGAACACACAAGGUCUGAAUGCUCUCAUCAUCCUCUAGGAUGGAUUUCCCUGUUACUUUGGGAUCAGGUCAGGUAGUGCCUGGGAAAAAAACUUAGGAAGCCUGAAGAAUGCAAUGAAGUUUGUUUCUUUGGUCAAGGAAAGAUUACUUCACAGUAGUUGUUUUUAAGGACCAUUAAGGUUUGUUUGUUGUCAAAGAAUUUCCUUUGUUCUGCAACUUAAACAACACAAAACAAAGACCUCUUGUGUCCUUUUGGGAGUCUAUUCCCUUCUCAAUGAAAAGCAGUUGUGGAAGUCCAGUUUCUGCAGACUUCCUAAGUGGUUUAAAACAGACCCAAACAUUAUGGUUCUGGGUACACUUUGCCUCCAAUUUGUUAUAAAUGGAGAAGGUGUUAUUAUUGUGGACAACUUAAAAACAUAACAAAAUGUGUGCAUUUGAGAACGGAAAGCAAAUGGUAUUGUAAAGCUUAAUGUUUAUAGGAAAGAAUGCUUUUCCUUUUCAGCUUUUUCUGAGCACUGUGGGUCUGAAAUUUGUAAGAGGAAGUUCGAAGAGGAUAUACACAUUAGUUCCUACUUGGUUAUUUUCCAUAUGUGAGGUCAGUAGAAUUCAGCGGAUUAGUCCGGGUUCCUGAACAUCUGAAAAGCUUUGAAAUUACCUUCCUGAGGUUUUGAAGUAGGGUAUUAUAGUUUGCAAAUAAAAAGAUCAGUUUGAGCA